AUUCUUGACUGGUGCCGGGUCCUCGGUGACCACCGAGGACGAGCCCCCAGGGAAAGGCGCGGGAAUUGCACUGCACUCGCGUUGACCCCUGCCAACUACACCAAACUGGGGCAGGUGGGGCAUGCAAAUUGCUUGAAUCCGGUUCCGGUUCAAGAG
rnacentral:snRNA from 1 species